AGAGAGAGAGAGAAUAACCCUACUGCUUAUCGGAUAGUUCUGUGAACGAAUCCAUGGAGGGAUGAUUUUCCAAGUGACAGCUACUUAGAUUCCGCAUGAAUUAAUACUCAUGGACCUGAUCGAGAGAAUAACCAGCAUAAUCGACCAGUUAAUAUCUCAGAAGAGCAAGAAGAAAAGGUAGAAGACGACGACGAUGAUGACGACGACGACGACGACGACGACGAAAAAAAAGAAGAAGAAUAAAAAGGAGAAGAAGACGAAGACAUAGCCAAAAGAUUACUAGGAGGAGUCUGAGAGUACAACAAAAUGAAAGGCAAUCUCGGUUAUUGGCAACGACGCUAUAUCAGAAUCCAUGGUUACGAUCCUGGGAUCUUUGCCUUAGCGAAACGUGCCAAACGUGUCACGUUAUCAUUCGAAGGAAGAUGAAGAUCCGAAGAAGAAGCUACUAACGAGCCCAAAGUCACCAUUACUGGGGUCACGGUAAGCAGUGAAAGAAAGAUGUUAGCGACCUUAAGGAAAGAUGAGAAAGGAGGAAGAAGAAGUGCUGAGGACCGAGAUUGUUAGUUUAACAAAAUUUCUCUCAGGCGUAAGAGAAAGAGAAGAAAAAAAAAAGGAAAAAGAAGAAUUAAUAUUCCACGUAAUCAAUCUCAUAUAAAAUUACAAAUCGUUCGAAAUGAAUGUGCAAUAGUCAAGAAACGGUAUAUAGCUCUAUGUAAAUCCCUUUCGUAUCGUUGGACACGAGUAAUACGUGAGUAUAGUCACCCGGAAGGAAAUCCAAAGUAAGAGAGGGUAACGUGUUCACGUUUCAAAGGGUUCUUCUCCUCCAACCUUAGGUUUGUACGACUUGGGCCAAGCUAACUAUCGUCAACCAUCCAGGAUCAGACGAGAGGGUAAAGGCAACGUUUACUCGCUACGUUUGCACAACCUUCUUUCACCGCGGCUUGCGAACUCUUACCUCUAUCAUCUCUUACACCACAUUCACCACGAUACUUCGCGAAUUAAAAGCCCAUGAAUAUGGUAAGGAUGCAAAUUCAAGGAUCGCUGUUUAUUCGGGAUCAGUGUUACUUGGCAAUCUGCAUAUUUCGGGGACAUCGGUUGGGGACACCGAAAUGAGAACUGUACUACUCUGCUCUGGUCCAGCUAUGCAUAUCACUAUACUCUCUCUCUCUCUCUCUCUCUCUAUCUAUCUAUCUAUCUAUCUUUACGUCGUUGUUGAGUAGGGUUAGAAAGCUAGAAGCAGAGAGGACUAGAUGAUACCGACCAUGCGAGAUAACUAUGGAGGUUAAUUACCGAGACGAGAGAUUCUCCUACAAAAUACACCUACGCCUAACUUCGAGGUUUGUUCAACGAGCCGUUUCCUAAUAAAUAAUCCCAAUUUCCUCAAGGAUCGUUUCUUAAUAUCCAUAUUUCUAUAAUCAAAUAUCGAGGAUUAAAAAAAUGAUUAAACGAACGAACGAGUUCAGAUGUAAAUGUUAAAAACUGAUUACUAAUCAUUUCGAAAUUGAAAGGUAAAAGUCGUGUCGCAUUGUAAGCAGUUCGAAUAAUUUUUGAAAGAAGAAAAAAAAAGAAAAGAAAAUUUCCCAAAGGUAAUCAAAUUGUCUAGUAGGUAUCUAAACAUUCGAGCAAACAUUUCCCAAACAUUUCCCAUGACAAAACGCUUCAAAAAUUAUUAAUAAAUAAAUUAAGCAAGUAAUCAGAUAUAAGAAAACUAAACAAACGACUUAUUGUCGAAUUUUAAUUAUGUAAAAAAAAAGAAAUAAAAAAUAA